GUGUCAGCCGCCGCGGUAAUACGGAGGGUGCAAGCGUUAAUCGGAAUUACUGGGCGUAAAGCGCGCGUAGGUGGCUUGAUAAGCCGGUUGUGAAAGCCCCGGGCUCAACCUGGGAACGGCAUCCGGAACUGUCAGGCUAGAGUGCAGGAGAGGAAGGUAGAAUUCCCGGUGUAGCGGUGAAAUGCGUAGAGAUCGGGAGGAAUACCAGUGGCGAAGGCGGCCUUCUGGACUGACACUGACACUGAGGUGCGAAAGCGUGGGUAGCAAACAGGAUUAGAUACCCUGGUAGUCCACGCCGUAAACGAUGUCGACCAGCCGUUGGGUGCCUAGAGCACUUUGUGGCGAAGUUAACGCGAUAAGUCGACCGCCUGGGGAGUACGGCCGCAAGGUUAAAACUCAAAUGAAUUGACGGGGGCCCGCACAAGCGGUGGAGCAUGUGGUUUAAUUCGAUGCAACGCGAAGAACCUUACCUACCCUUGACAUCUACAGAAGCCGGAAGAGAUUCUGGUGUGCCUUCGGGAACUGUAAGACAGGUGCUGCAUGGCUGUCGUCAGCUCGUGUUGUGAAAUGUUGGGUUAAGUCCCGUAACGAGCGCAACCCUUGUCCUUAUUUGCCAGCGAGUAAUGUCGGGAACUCUAAGGAGACUGCCGGUGACAAACCGGAGGAAGGUGGGGACGACGUCAAGUCACCAUGGCCCUUACGGGUAGGGCUACACACGUGCUACAAUGSCCGGUACAAAGGGCUGCGAGCUCGCGAGAGUCAGCGAAUCCCUUAAAGCCGGUCUCAGUCCGGAUCGGAGUCUGCAACUCGACUCCGUGAAGUCGGAAUCGCUAGUAAUCGUGAAUCAGAAUGUCACGGUGAAUACGUUCCCGGGCCUUGCACACACCGCCCGUC
rnacentral:rRNA from 1 species